AAGUUUAUCUGUUUAAUAAAAACAUAGUUUUAUGAGUUUUGUGUAAAAUAAAUUCUGCUCCAUGAUUAUAAAUUAAUUAAAUAGCCGCAGUAUAUUGACUGUGCGAAGGUAGCAUAAUCAAUUGUUUCUUAAUUGGGAACUGGUAUGAAGGAAUGAAUGAGAUUU
rfam:Camponotus floridanus CamFlo_1.0_2.contig5295, whole genome shotgun sequence.